rnacentral:lncRNA from 1 species
GAACCUGUGCCAUGGGGGCGAUAUCCGCUUUUUGCACAUGCCUGUACAGCGGCAAUUCGCUGAGAGCGUAUAGCAGCGAGGUCAAGGCUUUCGGGGUCUGGUCACGCAUCGCGAAAAAAUAGCUGGGAUCACGCAGGCGCUUGACGAACGGCAAGGCCAACUGCGCCUUUGCUGGGGCCGGCAUGCUGAGGCCCGCAAUUCCUGUGAUGCACAGAGCCAUGGCCUCCAGGUUCACCUCCCUCUUCAUCUGGUGGUGGCCCAGAAGAGCCAGCCGACGUGCGCAUGCCUCCACACGCGGGUCAGGUGACGGCUGAGUGCCACCGCAAUCGCUUGGCGCCAAGGACCUCCUGACGAUUCCGUUGCCCGUCCGAUGCAGGUCGCCGAAAAGAUUCGUGACUUCUGCAGAGGGUUGUUUACCUGAAAAAGGAGAGACCGCAGCCGAAUCUGGAGAGGAUACCGUGGGAACAGCGCUGGAUGAGGCUUCGUGGGCACCAUGUGUGGUAUGCGCACGGAGGCUCGACAGCGUUGUCAAACCCGUUGCCACGUGCCGCAGCGAAUACUCAUAGCUGUGCUUCUGAAUGUGAGCAUCGAGGGCUUCAAUCGUAGGACAUGUGUCGAUUGAUGGAAAUGCCGCAGCAAUCCUGGAAGGAGGAACGCGUAGUAACGGUUCCGCAGUUUCACCGGCUGUUUUUAAAUAUCGAAGCCACACAUAAUUCCAGGAAAGUUGAUCAUCGGAAGAAUGGGUACUUAUGAUGCCGGCGGCAAUAAAACUCCGCAAUGUAGAAAUAAGAAGAGUCCCAUCCCAUCUUGGUGCUCCAUAUACAGUAAUUGAAGGUUGCAGACAGACAGGCGCGCUACCGAUGAGCGAGGCCCCGCGGAGAAGGCGUCCUGUGAAAUGGCUCGGUCCCCUCGAUCUCCACAGAAACAUUAUCGUCGAUUGGUCAUGCUGUUGAACUAGGAAAAGUUGUCUUGAAUCCUGAUGGGUUGAGUUAGCUUAUGGACUUGAUUAACGGAAGCUGACUAAUACCUGCCAAGUUCUAACCACGAAAACGGGAAUCGUGCACCUUAUAUACAUUCUAAUCCAAACAAGUAAGGCUGAAACGAAAACAGCGCUUGGUUCCUUGUACUGAGUACUGUCGGCCUUUACAUUCAGCAAUGCGUGCUUGGUGCAGGAGCUGAGCAGCUAUUGUGUUACGACUGGCAGCUCAUUGAAGGCAAGCUGGCGCACACGGAGGGCAGCGGCACAACGCGACAUAUAUUGAAGAAGCCCUCUCGUCGGAAGGGGGCUGAUGCGCGGCCAUUGGACUCUGGCAGCACCGAUCGAAGUCCGGGCGUCGAAUCGAAAGCACCCGAAAGGAGACCUUCUUAUACUGAAU